ensembl:snoRNA scaRNA:MeU2-48 small Cajal body-specific RNA : MeU2-48
CGCCAUGAUGUAAACUCUGUAAAUCUGUCUUGCGAAGAUUGGAUCCCACUGCUGCAGCUCCGCGUUACUGGAUGCAGUCGAUGGUGCUCCACUCACUGUGCGCUCUUAGCUGAUAAGAUCUGACC